UGGCGAGUGGCGGACGGGUGAGGAAUACAUCGGAAUCUACUCUGUCGUGGGGGAUAACGUAGGGAAACUUACGCUAAUACCGCAUACGACCUACGGGUGAAAGCAGGGGAUCUUCGGACCUUGCGCGAUUGAAUGAGCCGAUGUCGGAUUAGCUAGUUGGCGGGGUAAAGGCCCACCAAGGCGACGAUACGUAGCCGACCUGAGAGGGUGAUCGGCCACACUGGAACUGAGACACGGUCCAGACUCCUACGGGAGGCAGCAGUC
rnacentral:rRNA from 1 species